GAGAGAGUGAGAGAGAGAGAGAGUAAGAGAGAGAGAGAGAGAGAGAGGAACAGAAGAGAGGAAAAGAAGAGAGGAACUGAAAUGAGUGUGGUUGUCUCUCUGUGGUCUCUGCUGUAACACUGAUUCUGAAUGGAAUGGAGCGAUUAAACGCUGGGAUUUAAACCUUUUGGAGGAAGAAGGGAGGAGGAAGAAGGGAGGAAGAAGGAAAGGAAGGAAGGAGUGAAAGAAGGAGUGUAUCAGGAGCGGGAGAGAAGCAGGAUUUAAAGGUUAAUAUACGUUUUAUCUAAUCUGUGAGCUCUGACUUGUUCUUCUCAGUGUGAGGAGUCCUGUGUGUGUGUGUGUGUGUGUGUGUGUGUGUGUGUGUGUGUGUGUGUGUGUGUGUGUCUCGCUCUUGUCCCUGUGAGGGGGUACGUAUGGUAGUCGACAGUACACACACCAAGCUAACAGGGUACACACACACCAAGAGAACAGGUUACACACACCAAGCUAAUUAACACACCAAGAGAACAGGUUACACACACCAAGCUAACAGGGUACACACACACCAAAAGAACAGGUUACACAAACCAAGAGAACAGGUCACAAACCAAACUAAUAGUUUAACACACCAAGAUAACAGGUUACACAACACCAAGAGAACAGGUUACACACACCAAGCAAACACGUUACAAACACCAAGCAAACAGGGUACCCACACCAUGGUAACAGGUUACACACACCAAGCUAACAUGUUAAACACACCAACCUAACAGGUUACACACACCAUGCUAAAAGGUUACACACACCAAGCUAACAGGUUAAAUACUCCAAGCAAACAGGUUACACACACAAAGCAAACGGUACCCACACCAUGCUAACAGGUUACACAUAGCAAGCUAACAGGUUUUGCAGAGACCAAACAAAUAGAUUACACACCAAGCUAAUAUGGUACACACAACAAGGUAACAGGUUACACACACCAAGCUAACAGGGUACACACACCAAGCUAUUAGUUUAACACACUAAGCGAACAUGUUACACACACCAAGCUAACAGCGUACACACACCGAGCUAACAGGUUUUCGCAGAGACCAAACGAACAGGUUACACACACAAAGCUAACAGGUUACACACACCAGGCUAACAGGUUACACACAGCAAGCUAACAGGUUACACACACCAAGCUAACAGGUUACACACACCAAGCUAACAGUUUACACACACCAAGCUACCAGGUUACACACACCAAGCUACCAGGUUACACACACCAAGCUACCAAGUUACACACACCAAGCUAACAAGUUACACACACCAAGCUACCAGGUUACACACACCAAGCUACCAGGUUACACACACCAAGCUAACAGGUUACACACACCAUGCUAACAGGUUACACACACCAUGCUAACAGAUAACACACACAAAGCUAACAGGUAACACACACAAAGCUAACAGGUGUCACACACCAGGCUAACAGGUUACACACACCAGGCUAACAUGUUAAACACACCAAGCUAACAGGUUACACACACCAAGCUAACAGGUUAGACACACCAAACUACCAAGUUACACUCACCAAGCUAACAGGUUACACACACCAAGCUAACAGGUUACACACACCAAGAUAAUAGCACUCCAAGCUAACAGGUUACACACACAAGAUAACAGGUUACACACACAAGGCUAACAGGUUACACACACACCAGGCUAACAGGUUACACAGCAGGGGUUGGAAAUGAAAGUAUUUUCAUUCUG
rnacentral:lncRNA from 1 species